ACCCCCUACGGGGGGCAGCAGUGGGGGAUAUUGCACAAUGGGGGGAACCCUGAUGCAGCGACGCCGCGUGGGUGAAGGAGUAUUUCGGUAUGUAAAGCCCUAUCGGCAGGGAAGAAUUUAGACGGUACCUGACUAAGAAGCCCCGGCUAACUACGUGCCAGCAGCCGCGGUAAUACGUAGGGGGCAAGCGUUAUCCGGAUUCACUGGGUGUAAAGGGAGCGUAGACGGCAAUGCAAGUCCGAUGUGAAAACCCAGGGCUCAACCGUGGGAGUGCAUUGGAAACUGAAUGGCUGGAGUGCAGGAGG
rnacentral:rRNA from 1 species